CCUACGGGUGGCAGCAGUGAGGAAUAUUGGUCAAUGGCCGCAGGGCUGAACCAGCCAAGUCGCGUGAGGGAUGACGGUCCUACGGAUUGUAAACCUCUUUUGUCAGGGAGCAAAGGGCGCCACGUGUGGCGUUUUUCGUGUACAUGAUGAAAAAGCAUCGGCUAACUCGGUGCCAGCAGCCGCGCUAAUAGGGGGGAUGUGAGCGUUAUCCGGAUUUAUUGGGUUUAAGGGGUGCGCAGGCGGAAUGUAAAGUCAGCGGUAAAAUUUCGGGGCUCAACCCCGUCGUGCCGUUGAAGAUGGCGUUCUUGAGUGAGCGAGAAGUAUGCGGAAUGCGUGGUGUAGCGGGGAAAUGCAUAGAUAUCACGCAGAACUCCGAUUGCGAAGGCAGCAUACCGGCGCUCAACUGACGCUCAUGCACGAAAGCGUGGGUAUCGAACAGGAUUAGAUACCCCUGUAGUC
rnacentral:rRNA from 1 species